UGGGGAAUAUUGGACAAUGGGCGCAAGCCUGAUCCAGCCAUGCCGCGUGAACGAUGAAGGCCUUAGGGUUGUAAAGUUCUUUUGUCAGGGAAGAUAAUGACGGUACCUGAAGAAUAAGCACCGGCUAACUUCGUGCCAGCAGCCGCGGUAAUACGAAGGGUGCUAGCGUUGUUCGGAAUCACUGGGCGUAAAGCGCGCGUAGGCGGCGAACCAAGUCAGAGGUGAAAUCCCAGAGCUUAACUCUGGAACUGCCUUUGAAACUGGUUUGCUAGAGUACUGGAGGGGAGUGGGGAAUUCCUAAUGUAGAGGUGAAAUUCGUAGAUAUUAGGAGGAACACCGGUGGCGAAGGCGCCACUCUGGACAGUAACUGACGCUGAGGCGCGAAAGCGUGGGGAUCAAACAG
rnacentral:rRNA from 1 species